rnacentral:rRNA from 1 species
ACUCCUACGGGAGGCAGCAGUGGGGAAUAUUGGACAAUGGGCGGAAGCCUGAUCCAGCAACGCCGCGUGAGGGAUGACGGCCUUCGGGUUGUAAACCUCUUUCAGUACCGACGAAGCGUGAGUGACGGUAGGUACAGAAGAAGCACCGGCCAACUACGUGCCAGCAGCCGCGGUAAUACGUAGGGUGCGAGCGUUGUCCGGAAUUAUUGGGCGUAAAGGGCUCGUAGGCGGUUUGUCGCGUCGGGAGUGAAAACACCGGGCUUAACUCGGUGCUUGCUUUCGAUACGGGCAGACUAGAGGUAUGCAGGGGAGAACGGAAUUCCUGGUGUAGCGGUGAAAUGCGCAGAUAUCAGGAGGAACACCGGUGGCGAAGGCGGUUCUCUGGGCAUUACCUGACGCUGAGGAGCGAAAGUGUGGGGAGCGAACAGGAUUAGAUACCCUGGUAGUCCACACCGUAAACGUUGGGCGCUAGGUGUGGGGCCUAUUCCAUGGGUUCCGUGCCGCAGCUAACGCAUUAAGCGCCCCGCCUGGGGAGUACGGCCGCAAGGCUAAAACUCAAAUGAAUUGACGGAAGGG